CAGCGACUCGAAGCUAUUCCACUUAACAGGAAUCCAAAUCUGGAAAUAAAUUAUUUGAAAACAUGCUACAUUUUUUUCAAAAUUUGUCUACCACAACAACUCACAUGGCCUCCUUGAAUUUUUUUGUAAUACAAGGUGUCAUAUAGGUUCUUGCUGAGUCCAAAAUCACUAAUUUUAGCAGUUAAACUCGUCGAAAGUAGCACAUUGCGACUUGCAAGGUCAAUAUGGAGCAACUAAAUGUAGUCCAUUCCGGUUGCAAUUUCGGCCGACCAUUUUCGAAUCUCGGUCUGUGGAAUUGUGAAAGACGGUGUGCCGAGCUGAGGACCUGAUCUUCUAAGUAAACCGGAAAUAGUUUCUACUAACAAUUCUUCAAUUGGUGCGGCAUCUGCAUGAAAAAUAUAUCCCCUUUGUUGCAACUGAGCGUUAACCGUGGAUGUGGAAGCAUUUUGCCAAUUCCUAGCUUGAAGAAGAUAUCUGUGCAAAUUGUCCACGCAAAGCUCCAUCAAGUAUAAAAAUUCCCCUGCAUCACAAUUUUCAAAAUUAUGUAUGUACGUAAUCAAAUUUACAUAAAAAUUUGGAACUAUAAAUAAAUUGAAAUAUUGCGUUUA